UGACCACCAAGAACCUUCUGUGGGAGGAGAAGCCUGACUUCUUGGAGUUCCCUCCCUGGCUGGUGGCAGAUCAGUUGACACUGAUGGAUGUGAAGUGCAAAGGCCUGAGGAACCUGUCUUCACUCCAUGCCAUCCUCUGGGCAAUGCAGAGCCCCUCCAUUCAGCGUUUAAAUAAGACAUGGAGAUGGGUGUCCAGGUGGGUAGGUCUCUCUCCAUGAGAGCACCACCUGGGUGGACCAGACACCCCCCACAGGACUGCCAUUGCCCUUCAGAAUCAGUUUCCCGAAGUGCCAGACCCUGACUUGAACUAAAUUGAAGAUUUUCAAGUGUUUGCUUUGCAGCAACAGAACUCUCUGUCCACCUGAAAUCAAGAAUCUUUAAAACAAGAGGAACUGCAAAAAAUUUAAAACCUUGUGCAGAAUGGACCAGUGGGAGAGGAGGAAG